rnacentral:rRNA from 1 species
AGAGUUUGAUCAUGGCUCAGGACGAACGCUGGCGGCGUGCUUAACACAUGCAAGUCGAGCGGAAAGGCCCUUCGGGGUACUCGAGCGGCGAACGGGUGAGUAACACGUGAGUAAUCUGCCCCUUGCUUCGGGAUAGCUCCGGGAAACCGGAAUUAAUACCGGGUAUGACUGCGGCCGGCAUCGGCUGUGGUGGAAAGUUU